rnacentral:rRNA from 1 species
UACAGGGGGUGCUAGCGUUGUUCGGAAUUACUGGGCGUAAAGGGCUCGUAGGCGGUUUGUCGCGUCGGGAGUGAAAACGCCGUGCUUAACACGGCGCUUGCUUUCGAUACGGGCAGACUAGAGGUAUUCAGGGGAGAACGGAAUUCCUGGUGUAGCGGUGAAAUGCGCAGAUAUCAGGAGGAACACCGGUGGCGAAGGCGGUUCUCUGGGAAUGACCUGACGCUGAGGAGCGAAAGUGUGGGGAGCGAACAGG